UCGAUACUGGGCGUAAGGGCACGCUAGGCGGUGAAUCGGGUUUGAANGUGAAANCUCGCCNAAAANAUGNCGGAAUGCUCUCGUAAACCACAUUCACAUUGUAGUGANCACNGAGGAGGAGGUGGAAUUUCUCUGUGUAGUGGGUGAAAUCCNGUAAAUAUACUAAGGAACNCCAAAAGCGAAGGCAGCUCUCUGGGUCCCUACCGACGCUGGNGUGCNAAAGCAUGGGGAGCGAACAGGAUUAUAUACCCUGGUAGUCCACCA
rnacentral:rRNA from 1 species